UGGCGGAAUAUUGCACAAUGGGCGCAAGCCUGAUGCAGCGACGCCGCGUGGAGGAUGAAGGCUUUCGAGUUGUAAACUCCUGUUAAGUGGGAAGAAAGACUGUUGACUAAUAAUCAGCAGGGAUGACGGUACCACUAGAGAAAAGCACCGGCMAACUUCGUG
rnacentral:rRNA from 1 species